GAUGAAGAACGCAGCGAAAUGCGAUAAGUAAUGUGAAUUGCAGAAUUCAGUGAAUCAUCGAAUCUUUGAACGCACAUUGCGCCCGCUAGUAUUCUGGCGGGCAUGCCUGUCCGAGCUUCAUUUCAACCCUCAAGCCCCCGGGCUUGGUGUUGGGGAUCGGCGAGCCUCCGCGCCCGCCGUCCCCUAAAUCUAGUGGCGGUCUCGCUGUAGCUUCCUCUGCGUAGUAGCACACCUCGCACUGGGAAACAGCGCGGCCACGCCGUUAAACCCCCAACUUCUGAACGUUUGACCUCGGAUCAGGUAGGAAUACCCGCUGAACUUAAGCAUAUCAAUAAGCGGAGGA
rnacentral:misc_RNA from 1 species